rnacentral:rRNA from 1 species
UACGGGAGGCAGCAGUGGGGAAUAUUGCACAAUGGGCGAAAGCCUGAUGCAGCUAUGCCGCGUGUAUGAAGAAGGCCUUAGGGUUGUAAAGUACUUUCAUCGGGGAGGAAAAAACAAAACUAAUAAUUUUAUUUCUUGACGUUACCCGAAAAAGAAGCACCGGCUAACUCCGUGCCAGCAGCCGCGGUAAUACGGAGGGUGCUAGCGUUAAUCAGAAUUACUGGGCGUAAAGAGCACGUAGGUGGUUUUUUUAAGUUCAGAUGUGAAAUCCCUGGGCUUAACCUAGGAACUGCAUUUUGAAACUGAAAUACUAGAGUAUCGUAGAGGGAGGUAGAAUUCUAGGUGUAGCGGUGAAAUGCGUAGAUAUCUGGAGGAAUACCUGUGGCGAAAGCGGCCUCCUAAACGAAUACUGACACUGAGGCGCGAAAGCGUGGGGAGCAAACAGGGAUUAGAUACC